UGGGGAAUAUUGGACAAUGGGCGAAAGCCUGAUCCAGCCAUGCCGCGUGUGUGAAGAAGGUCUUCGGAUUGUAAAGCUCUUUAAGUUGGGAGGAAGGGCAGUAAGCGAAUACCUUGCUGUUUUGACGUUACCGACAGAAUAAGCACCGGCUAACUCUGUGCCAGCAGCCGCGGUAAUACAGAGGGUGCAAGCGUUAAUCGGAAUUACUGGGCGUAAAGCGCGCGUAGGUGGUUCGUUAAGUUGAAUGUGAAAGCCCCGGGCUCAACCUGGGAACUGCAUCCAAAACUGGCGAGCUAGAGUAGGGCAGAGGGUGGUGGAAUUUCCUGUGUAGCGGUGAAAUGCGUAGAUAUAGGAAGGAACACCAGUGGCGAAGGCGACCACCUGGGCUCAUACUGACACUGAGGUGCGAAAGCGUGGGGAGCAAACAGG
rnacentral:rRNA from 1 species